rnacentral:rRNA from 1 species
UACGAAGGUGGCAAGCGUUACUCGGAAUUACUAGGCGUAAAGGGCAGGUAGGCGGUCUGGUUAGUCUGUUGUGAAAGCUCCUUGCUUAACGGGGAGAGGCCAACAGAUACUGCCAGGCUUGAGUAUAGGAGAGGGUACUGGAAUUCCCGGUGUAGAGGUGAAAUUCGUAGAUAUCGGGAGGAACACCAGUGGCGAAGGCGGCGAUCUGGGAACAUACUGACGCUGAGGUGCGAAAGCGUGGGGAGCAAACAGG